rnacentral:rRNA from 1 species
AAUAGAUACCCCGGUAGUCCACGCCGUAAACGAUGAGUGCUAAGUGUUAGAGGGUUUCCGCCCUUUAGUGCUGAAGUUAACGCAUUAAGCACUCCGCCUGGGGAGUACGGCCGCAAGGCUGAAACUCAAAGGAAUUGACGGGGGCCCGCACAAGCGGUGGAGCAUGUGGUUUAAUUCGAAGCAACGCGAAGAACCUUACCAGGUCUUGACAUCCUCUGACAACCCUAGAGAUAGGGCUUCUCCUUCGGGAGCAGAGUGACAGGUGGUGCAUGGUUGUCGUCAGCUCGUGUCGUGAGAUGUUGGGUUAAGUCCCGCAACGAGCGCAACCCUUGAUCUUAGUUGCCAUCAUUAAGUUGGGCACUCUAAGGUGACUGCCGGUGACAAACCGGAGGAAGGUGGGGAUGACGUUAAAUCAUCAUGCCCCUUAUGACCUGGGCUACACACGUGCUACAAUGGACGGUACAAAGAGCUGCAAAGCCGCGAGGUGGAGCUAAAUCUCAUAAAACCGUUCUCAGUUCGGACUGUAGGCUGC